rnacentral:rRNA from 1 species
GUAGGUGGCAAGCGUUGUCCGGGAAUUAUUGGGGCGUAAAGCGCGCGCAGGCGGUUCUUUAAGUCUGAUGUGAAAGCCCACGGGCUCGACCGUGGGAGGGUCAUUGGAAACUGGAGAACUUGAGUACAGAAGAGGAAAGCGGAAUUCCACGUGUAGCGGUGAAAUGCGUAGAGAUGUGGAGGAACACCAGUGGUGAAGGCGGCUUUCUGGUCUGUAACUGACGCUGAGGCGCGAAAGCGUGGGGAGCAAACAGGAUUAGAUACCCUGGUAGUCCACGCCGUAAACGAUGAGUGCUAAGUGUUAGGGGGUUUCCGCCCCUUAGUGCUGCAGCUAACGCAUUAAGCACUCCGCAUGGGGAGUACGGCCGCAAAGGCUG